rnacentral:rRNA from 1 species
GCCCAGACUCCUACGGGAGGCAGCAGUGGGGAAUAUUGGGCAAUGGACGCAAGUCUGACCCAGCAACGCCGCGUGAAGGAAGAAGGCUUUCGGGUUGUAAACUUCUUUUAAGGGGGAAGAGCAGAAGACGGUACCCCUUGAAUAAGCCACGGCUAACUACGUGCCAGCAGCCGCGGUAAUACGUAGGUGGCAAGCGUUAUCCGGAUUUACUGGGUGUAAAGGGCGAGUAGGCGGGAUUGCAAGUCAGAUGUGAAAACUAUGGGCCCAACCGAUAGAGUGCAUUUGAAACUGCAGUUCUUGAGUGAUGGAGAGGCAGGCGGAAUUCCCGGUGUAGCGGUGGAAUGCGUAGAUAUCGGGAGGAACACCAGUGGCGAAGGCGGCCUGCUGGACAUUAACUGACGCUGAGGCGCGAAAGCGUGGGGAGCAAACAGGAUUAGAUACCCUGGUA